rnacentral:rRNA from 1 species
CCUACGGGUUGCACCAGUGGGGAAUUUUCCGCAAUGGACGAAAGUCUGACGGAGCAACGCCGCGUGAGUGAUGAAGGUUUUCGGAUCGUAAAGCUCUGUUGUUAGGGAAGAACAAGUGCCGUUCAAAUAGGGCGGCACCUUGACGGUACCUAACCAGAAAGCCACGGCUAACUACGUGCCAGCAGCCGCGGUAAUACGUAGGUGGCGAGCGUUGUCCGGAAUUAUUGGGCGUAAAGGGCUCGCAGGCGGUUUCUUAAGUCUGAUGUGAAAGCCCCCGGCUCAACCGGGGAGGGUCAUUGGAAACUGGGGAACUUGAGUGCAGAAGAGGAGAGUGGAAUUCCACGUGUAGCGGUGAAAUGCGUAGAGAUGUGGAGGAACACCAGUGGCGAAGGCGACUCUCUGGUCUGUAACUGACGCUCAGGUGCGAAAGCGUGGGGAGCAAACAGGAUUAGAUACCCGGGUAGUC